GUUUGUUCUUGAAUCUCAUAUGAAUGAAGCAAUGAAACAAAUAUUCUUUUGUGUUUGACUUUUUUAACUCAACAUAAUAUUUUUGGAAUUCGUCCAGGGCUUUGCACAUGCUGAUCAAGUGUUCUACCAAGUUAAAUCCCUGCCUUUUUUAUUUUUUUGGUACCAGGGGAUGAACCCGGGGCGCUUGAGCACUGAACCACAUCCUCAGUCCUUUUUAUUGUUUAUUUUGAGACAUAGCUGGCCUUGAGCUUAUGAUUCUUCUCCCUCAGCCUCCUCAGUCACGGGAAUUAUAAGCAUGCACCACGACACACGGCCCCAGCCCUUUUUAUAUUUUGAGACAGUGUCUCCCUAAAUUGCUGAGGCUAGCCUCAAACUUUCAAUCCUCCUGCCUCAGCCUCUUGAGUCAAAAGGAUUACAGGUGUGCAUCACUACACCUGGCUCACCAUUUCUUUAUUACUUAUGUUGAAUAUUUUGUUUUUUUCUUAAACGUUUUUUUAGUUGUUAAAUUGUAUGAACUCUCAUGUACAAAAUUUUUUUCUGGACAUAUCUGCUCAUUUCUCUUUGGGAUACACAUAGGAAUGGUACUGCUGGCGUGUAAGAUAGGUAUACGUCUAGCUUUACUAGAAAUUGCCAGAAAGUUUUCCAAAGUAGUUGCCCAUGUCAUGCAUCCCUUAUCACCUGCACUGGAAAUCAACAGGAUCUUUAAUUUUAGUUAUUC
rnacentral:lncRNA from 1 species